rnacentral:rRNA from 1 species
CAUCGAGACCGCAGCGGUCGGCGGCUCGUCACUCAUCGCCUCCCUCUGUCCCGACGCCUGCUCUCCUAUCCUCUUCCUGCGCCGCCGACAUCAACGGCCCCCGUCACCAUUCCUCUCGCCCCCCCUUAACCUAUGGUUGCAGCGGGAUCCAGCAACGCGGGAUACAGAGGAGUGGCCGGUCUGCGCCCAUCCAGCCCCGAUGCGAGGCGCGCAAUGGGAUCAACCGGAUGUGCGGGAUCGAGCCAGGCUAUGCGCACGUUGGGAUCGACCGGAGGCACUUGAGGGAGCCCAAGAUCUAGCACCGCCAGAAAUUCGUCUCCAUGCCCGACUCGAGGGGUUUGCUGCCGCGGGUCGAGGCCCUCGCCACCGACUGCACGUUUGUGGAGGAAAUCAGCUGGUCCCAACGCGAGUUUCCUUCCUCUAUGGUUUUCAUUUAUUUAUUUGGGGUUUCUAUCUAAUUGGCAUAUUCGCAACUGAUGUGUUUCGAUUGAAGGCGGAGGCGAGCAGGGAGAGGUCAAAGGCGGCCUACACGGAGCUUCCUAUCCUACGGGUGCGAAUCACAAGCUCGCUGGACAAUAGUCACGAUGCCGAUGAGAUGGAUCUUGUACAGUGCAUGGCGAGUCUCCCUCGCAUUUUUGCUCACAAGUAUAAGCAUCAUGAUUCUUGAUAGUCUGCACAUGUCUUUUGUUACUGGAAACAAACUCCACGAAAUAGGAAUUAUAACAUUGGGGAGGUCGAUACAGAGGAUGCGGGCUGGCCCUUGAUAAAGAGGUUGCUAGCGAUGCGGGGUACUGUAAUCUUGUGAAGCAAAGGUAAUUGCUUCUAUUACAGAAUGGCCUAUGGUGGAAACCAUCAACAAAACUAAGAUUAUGUGUUCAAAGCUUUGAUUGGUGAUCCUUCUGUUGGUAAUUCAAAUUUUCUUGCAAGAUUUCCUAGGAACCCUGGUCCUUGUAAUUCCAGUGGGAUAGAUGAUUACUGGAACACAUAUAUAAACUUAUUAAGAGGUGAUUUAAAUAGCUGCUAAUAUUGGAGUUAUAUUGUUUUUCACUAGAGUUGAUACAAUCACCAAAGCAACAUUUGCUAAUUCCACACUGAUCCUUGUAAUUCCACACUGGUGAUUUUCCACUUCAGAUUCUUGAGCCACACAUAUUAUUAUGACCUAUCAGUUCUAGUGGAAAACAAUAUAACUCUAGUGUUGCUUUGGUGGGACUAGCAGAUGGUGUUUUUGGCUCAAGAAUCUGAAGUGGAAAACAAUAUAACUCCAAUGAAGAUUGAUAAGUUUGAUUGGUCUGCUUACGAAGAAGUGUGGCAGCAGUUUACAUUUCUUGAAGUUUAACCUUUCCAUCUGAAAAUUUGCAAUGAUUCAUUCAAAGGAGUCUGUAACAAUGCUAUAUGAUUGUUAUUAUUUUCACUUGAAUAUCCCGACUCUGAAAUUAAUAUUAAUUAAUAAAUGUAACAAGUGUGCCAGCAGUUUACGUUUAUUAAAGUUUAACCUUUUCCACCUGAAAAUUUGUAAUGAUUCAUUUCAAAGGAGUCUGCUGCAAUGGUAUACGAUUAUUAUUUAUUCACUUGAAUAUCCUGAUUCUGAAUUUUUAUAUUUAUUUAGUAAAUGUAACCACAGAGUAGUGCCUACUGACUACUAUAACCCUUUUCCAAUACUUUCCAAUGUUUGUUAA